GUGCCAGCCGCCGCGGUAACACGAACCGUGCGAACGUUAUUCGGAAUUACUGGGCUUAAAGAGUUCGUAGGCGGCGUGUUAAGUUGGGUGUGAAAUCCCUUGGCUCAACCAAGGAAUUGCGCUCAAAACUAGCAUGCUUGAGGGAGACAGGGGUGAGCGGAACUGAUGGUGGAGCGGUGAAAUGCGUAGAUAUCAUCAGGAACACCGGUGGCGAAGGCGGCUCACUGGGUCUCUUCUGACGCUGAGGAACGAAAGCUAGGGGAGCGAACGGGAUUAGAUACCCUCGUAGUCC
rnacentral:rRNA from 1 species